CAGGAGAAAAGGGAUUCGAACCCUUAACCUG
rnacentral:tRNA from 1 species